GUACUUGAAGAAGCGGAGCCAGGGCUGAGAUCCCGAAGGCGGGCGAGGCCGCAGUUCGGGGGCCACGCCCCGGCGUGCUCGGGUCACCGCGGGAAGCCCUUGAACCCCCUGGCGCCCGGCACCCACGUGCGGUAACCGCGGCUCCUCGAGAGCUCCAGGGAUGCGGAUCUACAGUAAGGGCUGUGGCCAGAUGAAUGAAUGCACAUUUUUUAGUGGGCAGAAAGAUGUUAGAAUUCAUGAAUUAGAAUAAGCACAAAGGAGGGCGAGAGGGGAGGCCGUGGAAGCCGCAUUCCUCCCCUUGCCUUGGGCGCCCACCCCCGAAGGGGCGCGUCCCCUCCCUGCUCCACUGCACGUGGGUGUUUAACCAGGGGAUAUCCAGUGCCUCAAGCACCACGACCCGGGAGAAAACUGAGUUGAGAAGGUCUUCUAACAAGCCUUUUGCACACCUGCCAUGUAUUUUGUCAGGCCUUGGGGAUGAAGGUGAGAAAUUCGAGAAUCCCCGGAGAUAACACAUCAGCAAAUAGUGCGCAGGCAGAACAAGCUGUUGGAGGUGAGAGACACAGAGCAGAGAAGCACCCGCACCUGGAGAGUCAGGAGGGCCUCACAUCAGAACGCCUGAGCAAAUACAGUUUUGAAGGAUACUAAUUUUUUAAAAAGUUCAUUCACAUGAGUUAGACAAAGAGAAAGAAGCAGGACAUUCUAGGAAGAAGGAACGGCCCAGGCAAAAGCGACGCGUACAUUGGCGUGGGUCCAUUCAAGAAUUGUGCCCACAAUAUACCAGGCACUUGUCCAGACCUGCAUCGUCCAAUGCCCACCUCGACCUCCCAAAGUGUUGGGAUUAGAGGCGUGAGCCACCGCGCCCUGCCUGCAUGUGGCUAUUGAGAUGUGCUGUAUGAUACACACCGGACUUUGAAGACUCAGUGUGAAAAAUAAAAAGAAUUUUAAGAGGGGUGGGGGUCGAGGGGAGGCAGAGCAGUAGGACAAAUAGCUAAUGCACGCAGGGCUUAAAACCUAGACAACAGGUUGAUGGGUGCAGCAAACCACCAUGACACAUGUUUAUCUAUAUAGCACCUACAUGUUCUGCACUUGUAUCCUGGAACUUAAAAUUAGAAAAAAAAAAUAAUAAAAGCCAACAUGGCAUUCAUUACUGCCAAAAAAAUUAAAACACAUUGUUAAUUUUGUAUAUUGAUUACAGGUUGAACUGAUAAUAUUUUGAAUAUAUUGGGUUAAAGAAAUACAUUUAAAAUUAGUGGCUAGGCACAGUGGCUCAUGCCUGUAACCCCAGCACUUUGGGAGGCUGAGGCGGGUGGAUCACCUGAGGUCUGGAGUUCGAGAUGAGCCUGGCCAACAUGGUGAAACCCCAUUUCUACUAAAAAUACAAAAAUCAGCCGGGUGUGGUGGUGAGUGCCUGUAAUCCCAACUACUUGGGAGGCUGAGGCAGGAGAAUCGUUUGAACCCGGGAGGUGUAGGUUACAGUGAGCCGAGAUUGUCCCACUGCACUCCAGCCUGGGUGACAGAGUGAGACUCCAUCUUAAUAAUAAUAAUAAAACUAUUUCUUGCUGUUUUACUUUUCUAAUGUGACCACCAGAAAAGUUUAGAUGGCUUGUGUGACUCUCAUCAUUGAACGGAGCUGUUCUAAACAUGGGUAAGACAACGCAGAGCUUCGGUUGCAGGACAGAGAAUGAAAUAAUAGACCCAUAAGACAGAUAAGUGACUGAUUGUGACUGCUAGGGUGUUUACAGCAUAGGCCGGUGACAGGAACGAGGAGUGUGGGGAUGAGAGCCGACGUGGGCGAGAGUGCAUGCAAUGCAGGGUCAGACGUUGGAUUCAUCUCUCAGGAGUUGAAAAAGGUGGCGUUCCUGUUCUUUAUUGGCAUUGCUUGUGACACGAGGAUUGCCCCUCUUCCUGAAGAGGUUGGUCAGGAAAAUUUUUUGUUAACUUUUAUUUUAGGUUUGAGGGUCCAUGUGCAGGUUUGUUUCAUGAGUAAACUCAUGUCAUGGGGGAUGGGUGUACAGAUAAUUUCAUCACUGAGGAAUAAGCCUAGUACCCGAUGGGUAUUUUUUCGGAUCUUCUCCCUCCUCCCAUCCUCCACCCUCAGGUAGGCCCCGUUGCCCACCGUUCCCCUCCUAAUAUCCCUGUGUUCUCGCUGUGGAGCUCCCACUUAUAAGUGAGAACACGCGGUGUUUGGUUUUCUGUUUCUGCCUUAGCUUGCCUCCACCUCUAUCCAUAGUGCUGCAAAGGACAUGAUCUCGUUCCUUUUUUAUGGCUUCAUGGUAUUCCACGAUGUAAAUGUACCACAUUUGCUUUGUCAAGUCUACUGUGGAUGGGCAUUUAUGUUGAUUCCACAUCUUUGCUAUCAUGAAUAGUGUUGUGGUGAACAUACACCUGCAUGUGUCUUUAUGGUAGAACGAUUUAGAUUCCUCUGGGUAUAUACCCAGUCAUGGGAUUGCUGGGUUGCAUGGUAGUUCUGUUUUAAGUUCUUUGCAGAAUCACUAUGCUGCUUUCCGCAAUGGUUGAACUAAUUUGCACUCUCAAUAUUAUAUUGUCUAUAGCUGAGAAAGCUGAAAUGUAAAGAUUAAGUCACUUGUCCUCAGACAUGUAGACAGGAAGUGGUACAGCCAGGACUCAAACCUGCCUCCAGAGCCCGUCCUCCUAAACCUAAGUCAUGGUUUUCAAAGUGUGGUCCUUGGAUCAGCAGCAAAAGCACCACCUGGGCACUCAUUAGACAUGGAAAUUCUGGGCCUCAACCCGGACCUCAGCAUGGGAAUCCCUGGGGGUGGAGCCCGGCGGUUUGUGUUUGGGCAGCCCCAGCUGACUCUGAGGCACCAUCAGGUUGGAGGCCACAGUGGGUGAUAGUCCCUGCCCUGUGGUAGCAGCCGGCCUCCCUCCUUCAUUUCUGUUAUUCCAUCUCCUUCUUAAAACAACCCUGUGAGGCUGGCAGGGCAGAUGUCGAUUUUAUUUAACAGAUGAAGAAACUGACCCUUGAGGUUUUAUGACUUACCCAAAGUCAUCGCAUUAGUUUUGGAACUGAAACUUCAAUGGCAGAUCUUCUGGCUGUUAGUCUGAGACUGGAACUAGUACCCACAAGGACUCUGGGAGCAGUAAGGUCAGAGCAGGAGCUACUGCUUCAUUUCAUUGCCUCUAGUGAAGGAGGAGGGGGGUUCCCAGAGCACGGCUUCUCCAUGGGUCUAGCCCAUGAUAGCUGGGUGCUUACCCUGAUGUGCUGAUGAGAUUCUGCCUUAUCUCCUGCAAGCCAUUUGUGCUGUGCUAGGAUUAAACAGUACACUUUGGAACCUUAGCUGCCCACACCCUGAGAGCCAAUCACGCAGAACCCACAGGAAAUCUCGGGGCAGAAGUAGUUUGCCAUAAAUGUCCAUUUUCUCAUUUUUUGUUGUUGUGACGGGGUCUUGCUCUGUCGCCGAGGCUGGAGUGCAUUGGCGCAAUCAUAGCGCACUGCAGCCUCAACCUCCUGGGCUCAAGUCAUCUUUCCACCUCAACCUCCAAAAUAGCUGGUAUUACAGGUGUGCGCCUCCUGUAUAAUUAAAAAAAAAACAUGUUUUGAGGCCGGGUGUGGCGGCUCAUGCCUGUAAUCCCAGCACUUUGGGAGGCCAAGGCGGGUGGAUCAUGAGGUCAAGAGAUUGAGAUCAUCCUGGCCAACAUGGUGAACCCCCGUCUCUACUAAAAAUACAAAAAAUUAGCCGGGCGUGGUGGCAGGCACUUUUAAUCCCAGCUACUUGGGAGGGUGAGGCAGGAGAAUCGCUUGAACCUGGGAGGUGUAGCUUGCAGUGAGCUGAGAUCACACCACUGCACUCCAGCCUGGGCAAAAAGAGUGAAACUCUGUCUCAAAAAAAAAAAUGUUUUGAGGUUACAGGGAGCUAUGAUCACACUACUGCACUCCAGUCUAGAUAACAGAGCGAGACCCUGUCUCUGAAAAAAAAGAAAAAAAAUUCUUUGUAGAGACAAGGUUUCACUAUAUUGCUCAGGCUGGAAUCAAACUCCUGGCCUCAAGCAAUCCUCCUGUAUUGACCUCUCAAAGGGCUGGGAUUACAGGCGGGAGCCACUGUGCUCAGCCUGCAUUUCCUGAUGCAACUCGUUCACAUUCCAUCCAUUAUCAACAAUCCCCACAACUUCACCUCCUGCCAUGGAUGCCUGAGGCUGGGGAAGGGGAACUUCAUUCGGGUGUGGGCGUCACCUUAGCCACAGAGAACCUAAAAGAGUGAUCAAGCCUCACCUGAGGUUGGGAGUUCGAGACCAGCCUGACCAACAUGGGGAAACCCCAUCUCUACUAAAAAUACAAAAUUAGCCAGGUGUGGUGGCGUGUGCCUGUAAUCCCAGCUACACGGGAGGCUGAGGCAGGAGAAUCGCUUGAACCCGGGAGGCGGAGGUUGUGGUGAGCCGAGAUCGCGCCGUUGCACUCCAGCCUGGGCAACGAGAGUGAAACUCCGUCUCGAAAAAAAAAAAAAAAGACUGAUCAAGCCGACUGAAAGUCAGGGUGCUCUGUUAUUAUAACUGAGCACCGGGAAUUCUAAACACUGUCAGUGAUAAAUACUCUUCCCAGAAAAAAAACUUUCUUGUAAUUAUAUGUGUAUAAUUCCAUUUUUAUCCCUAAUCUUUUAACAAACAUGUCUUACAUGGGAGUUAAUCCCAAGGGCUCCCAGCUAUGCACUUGGUUCCAACACGUCUUCGUUCAGCCACAAGAAGUUUAUUUGGUUCAGAAGCAGAGUGCUAGCUUCAGGCACAGUUUGAUCCAGCUGAUGGGCACUGCAACCUCCUGCAUGUAAACAGCAGGUUUGAAGUGAACCGUGGUAGCACUAUGACUAUAAAGACAAACGAGGAGAACUUGCUUUACUUCACUUCAUUCCAUGUGAUCACUUGUGCUUAAAAUUUGAAUCAGUGAAACAGGGCGGUGGGAACCGCAAGCUGAAAUAUUUUUGUUAUAGUGUGGAUUUUAGCUCAUAUAUUACACAUUUUACUGAAUUCAAAUAAUGUCUUUAAAAUUGAAAUUUAGCCAGGAGUGGUGGCUCACGCCUGUAAUCCCAGCACUUUGGGAGGCCGAGGCGGGAUUUCGAGACCAGCCUGGCCAAUAUGGUGAAAACCUGUCUCUGCUAACAAUACAAAAAUUAGCUGGGCGUGGUGGCACGGGCGUGUAGUCCCAGCUACUCAGGAGGCUGAGGCAGAAGAAUCGCUAGAACCCGGGGAGCCGAGAUUGGGCCACUGCACUCCAGCCUGGGCGACAGAAUAAGACUCUGUCUCAAAAAAAUAUUAAAUAAAUAAAUAAAUAAAAUACAAUUGAAAUUUAUUUUUUUUGGCCAGGUACGUUGGCUCAUGCUUUGGGAGGUCAACGGAGGAGGAUUACUCGAGGCCAGGAGUUUGAGACCAGCCUGGGCAACAUAGUGAGAUCCUGUCUCUACAAAAAAAUUUAAAAAUUAGCCAAGCGUGCCUGUGGU
rnacentral:lncRNA from 1 species